UCCCUGGUAGUAUAUCGGUUUAGUACACGCGCCUGUCAUUCAACCACAAUCUUCAAUCAUGUAUGUGCGCGCGCGAAAGCUGGGUUCGACUCCCAGCCAGGGAG